ensembl:lncRNA
AUAUCAGGACUUAAACAAGUCUCCAGUAAAGCAGCACUGUGGUUUCUUGCAGUUGGAAAGAUCAGAGACUGUAAUAAAAGGAGUCCACAGAAAUGGAUGACCCUACCAGCAAAGAAAUCCACAGGAACAUCUUGAGUGAAUUCAUUGCUGCAUGUUGACAUCCAGUGGAGAAAUGGUCUCAGAAAGCCUCCUUUCAUCAUCUGUACAGCAACCUUAGGCAGAGGCCCCUGAAGGGCUUUUUGAUCCACAGCUUUUGAAGUGCUUCCAGACUGUACCUAAAGCUCAGCUCAGAUCUGUGAGAGAGGAGAGCAUUACCUGCUCUAGUGAAGCUGGAGGUGUGGUGCUGAGUGUUAAAGGCUUACACUGGAGAUCUGCACAGGGGCUCUGGCUUCUUCACCUGGCUCUGCUGCUGCACCAGCUGAAUGGUCCUGGGUAAGUGGUUUCAUUUCUCCAUACUUGGAUUUCUGUUUCUAAACAAGGAAUGAUAAUGCU